rnacentral:rRNA from 1 species
GACGAACGCUGGCGGCAUGCCUAACACAUGCAAGUCGAACGAAACCUUCGGGUCUAGUGGCGCACGGGUGCGUAACGCGUGGGAACCUGCCCUUAGGUUCGGAAUAACUCCCCGAAAGGGGUGCUAAUACCGGAUAAUGUCUUCGGACCAAAGAUUUAUCGCCUUUGGAUGGGCCCGCGUUGGAUUAGCUAGUUGGUAGGGUAAAAGCCUACCAAGGCGACGAUCCAUAGCUGGUCUGAGAGGAUGAUCAGCCACACUGGGACUGAGACACGGCCCAGACUCCUACGGGAGGCAGCAGUGGGGAAUAUUGGACAAUGGGCGAAAGCCUGAUCCAGCAAUGCCGCGUGAGUGAUGAAGGCCUUAGGGUUGUAAAGCGCUUUUACCCGGGAUGAUAAUGACAGUACCGGGAGAAUAAGCUCCGGCUAACUCCGUG